GGUCCCCCAGAAACACCAAUGGGACAACAGUCUAUGUUUAUGGAGGACGGCAAACUCUAAUCAAAAGAAAAACAAUAUAGCAAAUACUUGGAUUUUGGAAGGACGAACAACCAACACACACAAUCACAUUGUAAAGAUGCAACAAUUUAAGUAAUUCAAGAGAAGAGACGUGAGAUGAUGGGAGUUAUUUUAAGAUUUAGUUUUGUUGAUGGAUAAUUUGAAAAAAGAGAGCGAUAUUUUUAAUUUCAUGUUAGUGCUAUGGGUCUUAUUAUCAGCUAUUUGUUUUAUGUAUAAUAUUAAUAAAACAUAUAAAAUGUUAUAGUUUAUGACAUGCUGAAAUGUUUAAUUUUACUUUGCCAGUUGGGCUUCUCAAUUAUACAUUGCUAAUGCUUGCGCGUUAUGGCAAUUAUAGCUGGGGAUAUGCUGCCCUCUAGUGUCGAUAAAAGGCAAUACAUGUACAUGUACCACUACUUAUUGAAAAUCGAUGGAUGCUUCUAGUUACUACAUCUUACAAUAGGGAAACUGGGGUGCUCUGCUGUGAUAUUACAGAAUUGUCUUUAUUUAAUAUAUCCAUUCCUUUUUGAUAUGCACUAUGAAAAUAAUAUUCCUCCUGAAAUGUUGGCCUACUUUCAAAAUUGUUGAAAGUACAUGUAUGUGUUACAAAAUAUAUUGUUUGAAAUAAGUUAUUUUUCCUCUCUUCCUGGAAAAUGUGUCAUUAUUAUGAAAGAAUUUAAUAGCCUACCUUGUACAAUUUCCUGCUGCCUGUUGCCAGCGCAGAAUUAAUCAAACAUAGAAAUACACUUCUGUUGAUUUUAAGUUGUUUUGCUUUCUGCUAAUACAAAUCCACCUUGCACACCGAUAAUCAUCAUCUUCCAUGACUUAGGUGUUUAAGUUGAUCCGUUUGCUACCUUUUCUUUAAAAUGGCUGAUUUUCAGGUCACUUCUGAUGAUAAAAUCCUAUAGAUGGCUGACCAUAACCUGAACAUCACCCCAGCAAGGGGACCUUCUUACGCUGGGAGCGCAGGGGUCAAAUCCAGAACUCUGGCAUGGGAGAGGAACAGGGGGUCCUGUCCAAAUGAAAUCAAACCUCUUCGUUCUCAAUGCUUUCAUUCACUGCAUUCAAAAUGACGGUACCCAAACCAAAAGCUAACAGUAUCCAUCUUAGAAACAGAGGUUUGUCUGUUAUAUUUGAUAGUAAGAGCCGUGACUUGAUUGACAAAUAAACCAAUUAAAAGGAAAUAAAUGGGUCAAUUUGUUGUUCUGUAAUACAAAGCCUAUGCCAUAUAAAAAGCAA
ensembl:lncRNA